rnacentral:rRNA from 1 species
AGAUUGAACGCUGGCGGCAUGCCUUACACAUGCAAGUCGAACGGCAGCACGGGAGCAAUCCUGGUGGCGAGUGGCGAACGGGUGAGUAAUAUAUCGGAACGUGCCCAGUCGUGGGGGAUAACGUAGAGAAAUUUACGCUAAUACCGCAUACGAUCCAAGGAUGAAAGCGGGGGACCUAAGGCCUCGCGCGACUGGGAGCGGCUGAUAUCAGAUUAGCUUGUUGGUGAGGUAAAAGCUCACCAAGGCGACGAUCUGUAGCUGGUUUGAGAGAACGACCAGCCACACUGGGACUGAGACACGGCCCAGACUCCUACGGGAGGCAGCAGGUGGGUAAUUUUGGACAAGUGGGACGAAAGCCUGAUCCAGCAAUGCCGCGUGACGAAGGAAGAACGGCCUUUACGGGUUAGUAAACGUUGU